GGGCUAGUAAAGGUUUCGACGGGGUACAUGCAGCUGGAGAAGCGAGUCGUAUGGCGAUGCGUUAAAUGGCCAAAUUAAAAUUAAACGCUGAAGAUAAUUUAGCAUACGCUGCCUAAUGGCAGCAGUCUGACCUAGAGCACUCACACUUUAGGACCGAGGGAAUGUUAAAUAAUAAACUACACUCGUAGAAGGACAGGGAAUUGUAUUUCGGACACGGGUUCGACUCCCGUCUAGUCCACUA
rnacentral:tmRNA from 1 species